rnacentral:rRNA from 1 species
CCUACGGGUGGCAGCAGUGAGGAAUAUUGGUCAAUGGCCGGAAGGCUGAACCAGCCAUGCCGCGUGAAGGUCAGUGCCCUAUGGGCGUUAAACUUCUUUUGUGCGGGAGCAAUAAUGGUCACGUGUGGCCAGACGAGAGUACCGUACGAAUAAGCAUCGGCUAACUCCGUGCCAGCAGCCGCGGUAAUACGGGGGAUGCAAGCGUUAUCCGGAUUUAUUGGGUUUAAAGGGUGCGUAGGCUGUGAGGUAAGUCAGCGGUGAAAUGCCCCCGCUCAACGGGGUGAAGUGCCAUUGAUACUGGCUUGCUGGAGUGCGGAUGCGGUAGGAGGAAUGUGUGGUGUAGCGGUGAAAUGCAUAGAUAUCACGCAGAACACCGAUUGCGAAGGCAGCUCACGAGUCCGCGAUUGACGCUGAUGCACGAAAGCGUGGGUAUCAAACAGGAUUAGAUACCCGGGUAGUC